CGGGCCCUUAGGCGGAAGUGGAUGCCAGCGGUUAUCUGCUGUAUGUUGGCGUACCCCAUCAUGUUCACCCCUUCUGCUGGCCCUGUCAUGUCGUAGCUCCCAACUCCGAUAAGGGAAAAGAAAGUAUUUAGUAUAGUACGGGGCACUUCGAGCGGUAUGCAAAUAUUUAUAUGGGUCAUAUAUGUUUUCUCCUUCGCAUGUUGUAAGAUGAUCUCACUGGGUUGGCCACUCUAUCCAUCUCCUCCCCACAAUUCGAAAACAAGAUGGGCAUACAUACAUUCAAGGACUCUUCUGGUUUGCUCUAUUGUGAUUUUUCUUCGAAAAGGCUAUCAAGACGACUAGAAUUGCAGGAAUUUAUGGACUCCUCAUCUUUACGGGCAUCUUCGUAUUAUAUCGACAGGAGGUCGAGACUAGAGUUUAAGUUCACUGCUCGCUGCUUUUAGCCUAGGUGUUUAUUGCCUAUUUAUCUCUAUUGUAGUUAAACUUGAAAUGUCCCUCCAAUAUUCUUGAUCCUGCAAUUUUUAUUGAGCGUUUAUAUUUUUCUGAA